GUCGUGACUGCGUGCCUUUUGAAGAAUGAGCCUGCGAGUUUGCGGUAUGUUGCGAGGUUAACCCGUGUGGGGAAGCCGUAGCGAAAGCGAGUCCGAAUAGGGCGUUGAGUAGCGUGCCCAAGACCCGAAGCGGAGUGAUCUAGCCAUGGGCAGGUUGAAGCGGAGGUAAGACUUCGUGGAGGACCGAACCCACCAGGGUUGAAAACCUGGGGGAUGACCUGUGGUUAGGGGUGAAAGGCCAAUCAAACUCCGUGAUAGCUGGUUCUCCCCGAAAUGCAUUUAGGUGCAGCGUCGUGUGUUUCUUGCCGGAGGUAGAGCACUGGAUAGGCGAUGGGCCCUACCGGGUUACUGACCUUAGCCAAACUCCGAAUGCCGGUAAGUGAGAGCGCGGCAGUGAGACUGUGGGGGAUAAGCUCCAUGGUCGAGAGGGAAACAGCCCAGAGCAUCGACUAAGGCCCCUAAGCGUGUGCUAAGUGGGAAAGGAUGUGGAGUCGCAGAGACAACCAGGAGGUUGGCUUAGAAGCAGCCACCCUUGAAAGAGUGCGUAAUAGCUCACUGGUCAAGUGAUUCCGCGCCGACAAUGUAGCGGGGCUCAAGCACACCGCCGAAGUCGUGUCAUUGCGAUAUUACCCCCAACGGGGAUCGUGAUGGGUAGGGGAGCGUCGUGUGCCGGGUGAAGCAGCCGCGGAAGCGAGUUGUGGACGGUUCACGAGUGAGAAUGCAGGCAUGAGUAGCGAUACACACGUGGGAAACGUGUGCGCCGAUUGACUAAGGGUUCCUGGGUCAAGCUGAUCUGCCCAGGGUAAGUCGGGACCUAAGGCGAGGCCGACAGGCGUAGUCGAUGGACAACCGGUUGAUAUUCCGGUACCCGCUUUGAAACGCCCAGUAUCGAAUCCAUUAAUGCUAAGGCCGUGAAGCCGGCCUGGAGUCUUCGGACAAAGGGACGUGGUGGAGCCGCCGAUCCAAGGUGGUAGUAGGUAAGCGAUGGGGUGACGCAGGAAGGUAGUCCAGCCCGGGCGGUGGUUGUCCCGGGGUAAGGGUGUAGGCCGUGUGGUAGGUAAAUCCGUCACACGUUAAGGCUGAGACCUGAUGCCGAGCCGAUUGUGGUGAAGUGGAUGAUCCUAUGCUGUCGAGAAAAGCCUCUAGCGAGUUUCAUGGCGGCCCGUACCCUAAACCGACUCAGGUGGUCAGGUAGAGAAUACCGAGGCGUUCGGGUGAACUAUGGUUAAGGAACUCGGCAAAAUGCCCCCGUAACUUCGGGAGAAGGGGGGCCAUUUCCGGUGAUGAGACUUGCUCUCUGAGCUGGGGGUGGCCGCAGAGACCAGCGAGAAGCGACUGUUUACUAAAAACACAGGUCCGUGCGAAGCCGUAAGGCGAUGUAUACGGACUGACGCCUGCCCGGUGCUGGAACGUUAAGGGGACCGGUUAGUCAUGAUUCGUCAUGGCGAAGCUGAGAACUUAAGCGCCAGUAAACGGCGGUGGUAACUAUAACCAUCCUAAGGUAGCGAAAUUCCUUGUCGGGUAAGUUCCGACCUGCACGAAUGGCGUAACGACUUCUCGACUGUCUCAACCAUAGGCCCGGUGAAAUUGCAUUACGAGUAAAGAUGCUCGUUUCGCGCAGCAGGACGGAAAGACCCCGGGACCUUUACUAUAGCUUGAUAUUGGUGUUCGGUUCGGCUUGUGUAGGAUAGGUGGGAGACUGUGAAGCGGCCACGCCAGUGGUUGUGGAGUCAUUGUUGAAAUACCACUCUGGUCGUGCUGGAUGUCUAACCUGGGUCCGUGAUCCGGAUCAGGGACAGUGUCUGGUGGGUAGUUUAACUGGGGCGGUUGCCUCCUAAAGAGUAACGGAGGCGCCCAAAGGUUCCCUCAGCCUGGUUGGCAAUCAGGUGUUGAGUGUAAGUGCACAAGGGAGCUUGACUGUGAGACUGACGGGUCGAGCAGGUACGAAAGUAGGGACUAGUGAUCCGGCGGUGGCUUGUGGAAGCGCCGUCGCUCAACGGAUAAAAGGUACCCCGGGGAUAACAGGCUGAUCUUCCCCAAGAGUCCAUAUCGACGGGAUGGUUUGGCACCUCGAUGUCGGCUCGUCGCAUCCUGGGGCUGGAGUCGGUCCCAAGGGUUGGGCUGUUCGCCCAUUAAAGCGGUACGCGAGCUGGGUUUAGAACGUCGUGAGACAGUUCGGUCCCUAUCCGCUGUGCGCGUAGGAGUCUUGAGAAGGGCUGUCCCUAGUACGAGAGGACCGGGACGGACGAACCUCUGGUGUGCCAGUUGUCCUGCCAAGGGCAUGGCUGGUUGGCUACGUUCGGAAAGGAUAACCGCUGAAAGCAUCUAAGCGGGAAGCCUGCUUCGAGAUGAGGACUCCCACCCCCUUGAGGGGUUAAGGCUCCCAGUAGACGACUGGGUUGAUAGGCCAGAUAUGGAAGCGCCGUAAGGUGUGGAGUUGACUGGUACUAAUAGGCCGAGGGCUUGUCCUC
rfam:Streptomyces auratus AGR0001 genomic scaffold Scaffold15, whole genome shotgun sequence.